CGAUUGAAUGAUCCGGUGAAG
rnacentral:siRNA from 1 species